CAACCCUCAAGCCUGGCUUGGUGUUGGGGCACUGCCUGUGAGAGGGCAGGCCCUGAAAUCUAGUGGCGAGCUCGCCAGGACCCCGAGCGUAGUAGUUAUAUCUCGUUCUGGAAGGCCCUGGCGGCGCCCUGCCGUUAAACCCCCAACUUCUGAAAUU
rnacentral:misc_RNA from 1 species